rnacentral:rRNA from 1 species
GACGUAGGUGACAAGCGUUGUCCGGAUUUACUGGGCGUAAAGAGCGCGCAGGCGGUCGUUCAAGUCGCGUGUGAAAGCCCCCGGCUCAACUGGGGAGGGUCAUUCGAUACUGAUCGACUCGAAGGCAGGAGAGGGUAGUGGAAUUCCCGGUGUAGUGGUGAAAUGCGUAGAUAUCGGGAGGAACACCAGUGGCGAAGGCGACUACCUGGCCUGUUCUUGACGCUGAGGCGCGAAAGCUAGGGGAGCAAACGGG